UACAGAGGGUGCAAGCGUUAAUCGGAAUUACUGGGCGUAAAGCGUGCGUAGACGGUUAUGUAAGUCAGAUGUGAAAGCCCCGGGCUCAACCUGGGAAUUGCAUUUGAGACUGCAUAGCUAGGGUGCGGAAGAGGGGAGCGGAAUUUCCGGUGUAGCGGUGAAAUGCGUAGAUAUCGGAAGGAACACCAGUGGCGAAAGCGGCUUCCUGGUCCAGCACCGACGUUCAGGCACGAAAGCGUGGGGAGCAAACAGG
rnacentral:rRNA from 1 species